rnacentral:lncRNA from 1 species
AAAAAAGCUUCAUACCUAGAAUUGUGUUUAGGGUAGCCCUAGGAUGGUUGUAUCCCCCACCCAAUCUUGACAGAAGCAAAUGUACGUUCUCUCUGGAGGAAAUCACCUUUGACCUAAGCCUGGAAAAAUUCCCACAGCUGAAGACUCAAGACUGGAAUCCCAACUAUUGACAGUUACUGUGUGACCUUGGAUAUGUUAACUUCCCUAAGGCUUAAUUUCCUCCUUCAUAAGAAUGGAAAAAUGCAGUAAAUGCCUCAGUUACUAUGACAGUAGCUUGAGUGAAAGCAUUAGUGUAACACCAGACAAAGAUUUCAGGAAGCUAAGGAUGACUAGUACUUCUGAGAAAACAGCCUAGACUCAAUCAGAAGAAAAUGGGCAUUCAUUAGUUAGCUCUACUAAUAGGAAAUCUCUCUGAAUCUACUCAAAGAACUUGUUGUAAAUUAAGAUGAGAACUGAAUAUGAGCCAAGAGAGUGACUCAGCUGCUAAAAAGAAACAAAAUGCAAACUUGGGCUUCAUUAGAAGAACAGUAUCCAGAAAAGGAGGGUAACAGUACCAUGUAUUCCUCACUACUUAGUUCACAACUGGAGUAUUGUAUUCUGAGGGUUUUUCGUUUUGUUUUAAUAUAGAAUUAAAAAAUAUCACCUAUGGAGGGAAACAUGUUCUGUUCUGAACACCACAUUUUAAGAACACUUACAGGACAGAAUCCUUGGAAGGAGGGAUAUCAAACUAGUGAGGGAUCAGAAACCAAAUGUCAAGUGUAUAAUGACUGAAGAAACUGGGUGUGUUUAGCUUGGAGAAGAAAACACUUUCUAGCCUUCCACCUCACCUCUACCAUACAGACCAGUGUAAUAUUUUCCAGAGGAUUUCAAGAGUUGUUAAUGCACAUUCCAUAAUUAAAGAAGAUUGAGAUAAACACUUUUUUUCUCUAAAUGACUUAAAGUGUUCAAUAUCCUAAAAUGCUUUGUUAAUGUCCAAGAAAAUGAUGAUCGGUAUUUCUCAAAUAUGACCAUUCAUUCAUUCAUUCAACAAAUAUUUAUUAAGCACCAAUUAUUAGCCAACCACUCCUCCAAGUGCUGGGGAUACAACAACGAACAGUUUUAAUAUCCUGGAGGAUAGUGUGGGGAACAGCCAAGCUGGGUCUCUAUUCCUCUAACUUGCAUUGUGCUUCCUCAUUUCUAAGUCUUUGACUAUGCUCUCAGCCUAGAAUGCUCCAUGUCUAAUCUUAAUCCAAACACUAUCUCAUCCACGAAGCUUUUGUCAUCAUCAUAAGCAAAAAACACUCCCUCUUCUCAGUAAACCCAUAGCUCUUAGUAUCUGUACCCAUUUCUUGCUAAGAGACUAUGCCUC